GAUGAACGCUGGCGGCGUGCCUAAUACAUGCAAGUCGAGCGAACGGACGAGAAGCUUGCUUCUCUGAUGUUAGCGGCGGACGGGUGAGUAACACGUGGAUAACCUACCUAUAAGACUGGGAUAACUUCGGGAAACCGGAGCUAAUACCGGAUGAUAUUUUGAACCGCAUGGUUCAAAAGUGAAAGACGGUCUUGCUGUCACUUAUAGAUGGAUCCGCGCUGCAUUAGCUAGUUGGUAAGGUAACGGCUUACCAAGGCAACGAUGCAUAGCCGACCUGAGAGGGUGAUCGGCCACGCUGGAACUGAGACACGGUCCAGACUCCUACGGGAGGCAGCAGUAAGGAAUCUUCCGCAAUGGGCGAAAGCCUGACGGAGCAACGCCGCGUGAGUGAUGAAGGUCUUCGGAUCGUAAAACUCUGUUAUUAGGGAAGAACAUAUGUGUAAGUAACUGUGCACAUCUUGACGGUACCUAAUCAGAAAGCCACGGCUAACUACGUG
rnacentral:rRNA from 1 species